UUUGGUUGCAGAGAUUUUUGCAA
rnacentral:snRNA from 1 species